GAUGAACGCUGGCGGCGUGCUUAACACAUGCAAGUCGAACGAAGCAUUUAAGACAGAUUACUUCGGUUUGAGGUCUUUUAUGACUGAGUGGCGGACGGGUGAGUAACGCGUGGGUAACCUGCCUCAUACAGGGGGAUAGCAGCUGGAAACGGCUGGUAAUACCGCAUAAGCGCACAGUACCACAUGGUACAGUGUGAAAAACUCCGGUGGUAUGAGAUGGACCCGCGUCUGAUUAGCUUGUUGGCGGGGUAACGGCCCACCAAGGCGACGAUCAGUAGCCGACCUGAGAGGGUGACCGGCCACAUUGGGACUGAGACACGGCCCAGACUCCUACGGGAGGCAGCAGUGGGGAAUAUUGCACAAUGGAGGAAACUCUGAUGCAGCGACGCCGCGUGAGUGAAGAAGUAGUUCGCUAUGUAAAGCUCUAUCAGCAGGGAAGAUAGUGACGGUACCUGACGAAGAAGCGCCGGCUAAAUACGUG
rnacentral:rRNA from 1 species